rnacentral:snRNA from 2 species
AUACUCUGGUUUCUCUGCAUAUUACAUAAAUCUUUUGCUUUUUACUAAAGAUUUCUGUGGAGAGGUACAGUAAUGAGUUUUUUUU